UACGGGGGGGGUAAGCGUUGUUCGAAAUUACUGGGCGUAAAGGGCUCGUAGGCGGCCAACUAAGUCGGACGUGAAAUCCCUCAGCUUAACUGGGGAACUGCGUCUGAUACUGGAUGGCUUGGAUUUGGGAGAGGGAUGCGGAAUUCCAGGUGUAGCGGUGAAAUGCGUAGAUAUCUGGAGGAACACCGGUGGCGAAGGCGGCAUCCUGGACCAACAUUGACGCUGAGGAGCGAAAGCCAGGGGAGCAAACGGG
rnacentral:rRNA from 1 species